CGACAGCAGCCCCCCCCCCUUUUUAUUUUUUGAAACAGCCGGUGGCUUCCAAGAGCCACCGCCGCCGCCACACCGGACCACCGGCCACGAGACCGGUCCCAAUCGAACCGCCACCUCCUCCUCUCUCUUCCCCGGCCAGCACAGCCCUCGGAGCCGAUGAAUCCCGCCGGAAAACGCAGAAAAUCGCAGUGUUUUUGACAGAUUUUCCAAGGCUUCGUUCUCCCUCAUUUCUCCACCAAAUUGGACGAGUGAGCUGCAGAGGAAGAUUCCAGAUCACGAUAAGAACAUCAUUUUAAACAGAGGCCUGGAUUUGUAUGAAAAAGGCUUUGCAUAUGAUGAUGAGCCACUCUAUCAAUGCCAUCAAUACAAGAAGUGAAACGUAUAUCAAUACAAGAAGUGUAACAAAAAUGAUGAUACACAGGGUCAAAGGGCAUAAUUUUUAUGAACUGAAGUGAAACGUAUAUCAAUACAAGAAGUUUUACAUAAA